CAACGCGGGGCGGAGCGAUCGGGGUGUCAAUCACAGUCGGGGGCGGGAUAGACGAGUUCACCUCGUCUCGCGCUCUUCCCCCGGGUCCCGCCCCUGCGCGCCGCACCGAGCGACUUCCAAGAACUCCCAGCGUAGUCAGUGACUUGGGCCACGCCCCUCGCCCCCCAAACCGGUCUCUUCCGGACCGGAUUCCGCCCAGGCUCUCCGCGCCGGGCGCCCCCCCCCCCCCCACAAAGCACGCCCCGCGGAUGCGGGAGUGGGACUUAGGGUCCGGGCCGGAAGGCGGAGGCCGCGCCGGGGCGUGUGGGGCUGGGGGCCUGAUCGAAUCAGGCUGCUGAAGCUCCCCACGUGCCCAGAGGAGCCCAGAACCCCACACCGGCGUCCACGGGGAACCAGAGCCCCCGCAGCAGUGUCUCGUGGCGCUCGGAUCCACACACGUGUGCUCAGGGGGGUCCACA